GCCUUGCCAGCCCGCUCAGAAACUCAAAGGAAUUGAGGGGGCCCGCACAAGCGGAGGAGCAUGUGGUUUAAUUCGAUGAUACGCGAGGAACCUUACCUGGGCUCGAACGUAAGAUGACUGUAGGUGAAAGCUUACAUCUCUUCGGAGCAUUUUACGAGGUGCUGCAUGGUUGUCGUCAGCUCGUGCCGUGAGGUGUCGGGUUAAGUCCCAUAACGAGCGCAACCCCUACCUUUAGUUGCCAUCAGGUUAAGCUGGGGACUCUAAAGGAACUGCCUACGCAAGUAGUGAGGAAGGCGGGGAUGACGUCAAAUCAGCACGGCCCUUACGUCCAGGGCUACACACGUGCUACAAUGGCCGAUACAGAGGGCAGCUACCUGGUGACAGGAUGCAAAUCUCCAAAGUCGGUCUCAGUUCGGAUCGGAGUCUGCAACCCGACUCCGUGAAGUUGGAAUCGCUAGUAAUCGUGGAUCAGCAUGCCACGGUGAAUACGUUCCCGGGCCUU
rnacentral:rRNA from 1 species